CCAUUUCAUCCUUCAUACUGAUAAGUUAGUGUUUCACUCUGACACGGAAUCACCGUCAGGAUGAUUGGGCCGGUUUCUCUGAGUGGGUGAGAAUCACGCCUUGUUCUUCUUCUUGAACCUAUACCUGCCAUGGAGAAAAGAAGAAAGUGGAGCUGUAGAGAUUGCCGGUAGGAGAAGACUCUCCUGUUUCCAGCUACAAAAAGUGUGGCGGUUCCAUUUCAUCUACCCUAAUAAUAAGGUACUAUACCCAGAAAAUUGUUGCAAACGGAUCACGGAAUCUAGGCCUAACGGACGAUACACGGAAAGUUGUGCUAUGUCCGUAUCAGAUCUCUCUCUAUCAUACGUUCAGAAUUUCUCUCUCCAUUAUCAACUCCAAGACCACCACGAAUCGGAAGAUUAAACAUCAAUCGGAAGCCGGUGUCGGAAGCGGUUGUUGAAGACGAUCGUUGUUGAUUUUGGAU
rnacentral:lncRNA from 1 species